ensembl:lncRNA
GUUAUAUUCCUAUAAAAUCCUUCUUAAUUAAAAAGUGUGAUCAACAUAGCUAACAGCUAUAAAAGGGACAUCUGUGCCCUAUGCAUUUCAUCUCUAUGCCUGAGAGCUCUCCAAACCUCCCUCCUUCUUAGAUCAAUGGCAAAAAAGUAUAACUUAUUAUCUCUAUUGUACUUAUGAUAAACAAAAUUGUGGGGCUGGGCUGAUACGAGUGCUGGUGCAAGGUGGGGAAAUAAGAGCAGGGGCCUUAAUAAAACCAUCUUAAGAAAGAGGAGUAACUGAUUAUGGAUAUACUAGACAUUUUGGAUAGAUGUAAACCACUGCUUUUUUUUUUUAAAUGUAAAACCUGGUUUUAAAAGAGUUAAUGUAUAAACUGUGAAAUGUUUUAGCAAUAUGAAAUCUGGUUUUGACUCCAUGGCUCAGUCUCGGCACUACCCCUGUCUGUGGUGCAAUAAACUCAGUUGAGCUGCAUGUAAUCUAUUUACAAAAACAGCAGCUUUGCAGUCCUUGAUUUGUGUGUCCUUUUAAUUUCUCCAUCCCUGUUGAGUCUCCCUCUGAUGCACCAUGCCAUGAAGAUGAUUAACCUCCAGCACUUUAUCAGCCCAAGAUCCACGGCUGUGGCAGUGCAAGGAACUAUCCUGGUGUAACUGUAGUGCAAGCCAGGCCUGAAGACCAGGUGCUGGGUCUCUGCCCGCUAAGUGCAAAGCCGUUUCUUCCUCACAAAAGCUAGCAAUUUGCUUAAAUCCUGAGAAUAAACCUUAAAUGCUCAGUAAGAUAAGAUUGAUAAGAGGCAACCCCAGCCUCUUAUCAAAUAGAUGGCUAAACUGACCCCCAGGUGGGCUUGGGAGGCAGGGUUCUCCAGACAGUUCUGGAACUUUCUCCUGAGCGCCCCUCGCACCCUCAGGAGCAGCUGCUGGAGGAACCCACAGGUGCAGUGCAGUGCAGUGAUCCCGGCAGGCACUCACAGACACCUGAACCCAGGUGCAGCUGUUCUGGGCACCAGAACCUGGUGUUGCCCUUCCUUGGGAAGGAUGAAUGAUGUGGUUAUUGGGAGGAUAAGAAACAUAAGAAAGACAAAGACCAUUGGGAAACACCCACACAUAGACAGUGGACAAAGAAAGAAAGGGAUGACAACACAUGGAAAUUAUACUUACGGAAAGGGCAAUAGCUCCUUGAAAUGAAGUUCUUCUCCAAAAGGUAAAUCUAAAAGCUUUACUAGAACCGCAUAUUUACCAUUUAUCAGCGAUUCCAUAGUAAAUCUACGUAGCCUCUCAGGGUAAUUCAGAUGGGAAAGAAAAAGAACCUCUCGGGGUGUCUAACAUCCCCUAGCUCAAAGCACAGUCACUGAUGAGAUCAGGCUGGGUUGCUCAGGUUUCAUAUUUACAUUAAAAUAUGAAUAACGUCGUCACCUUAAGGCCACUCACAAGGAAUACAAAUCACAACUCUGCAAGUGCAGUCCUAUGGACUGUCUUCAAGACGUGCCCGAACACACCAAACAGUUGAAUAUAUAAUUUACCAAAUAUUAGCUAGCUUGCUACAUUUUCUGGUAGGAUGCCAAAGUCAGGUCUCCAUAUGGGUAGGAGAUGGUCAGACUGGAAUGUUUAUAUGGAAGCUACCCGUAAAUGUGCCCUGCUUUUAAUGUAGGGAAGACAGCUCCUCAGUAAUUAUUUCCAAAUUAGGUUCUUAUUAAAGUUAAUUAGAGCAUAGUGCAGCAGCCUCAGAACCCAGAUCAGCCUCAACUGGUGCACCCAAAUGCUGCAGACAUUGCAACUCUGGCUUUGACGAUGUGAGCACCAACUCUGGCUUUGACGAUGUGAGCACCACAUGACUGUGCCUCAAAGGGCAAUUCAAAUCAAUUAACUUGAGAGAAACCUGUGUUUAUGAUUUUCACAUCUGUGUAGCAGGUAAAGUCUAGAUAUUAUUGUGGUCUAGAUUACACCUUUGUGUGAAGACAAAGGGCCUGAGCCUUGCAAAGGUUGUUCUUCAAGCUGGUUAACAAGCACUUUUUCAUAUACCAGGUGUAAGGUCACUAACCACUGGGUCCCGAGAUGUCUUUAGGAUUGGAUUCCCUUUUGUAUUUGUAUUUUAAAGAUUUGGUUAAAACAGCACAGACUGUUUUUUUCCCCUUCAGAUAUGAUCUCACAUCACCAUAUGAGCUAAUUACUCUUUUUCACCUUUGUUUGGUACUUGCAAUGAAACCUUGGAAUGUUUAUUCCUUUAUAUCUUUUCUGUUGCAAAUACAAGCACCGUAAAAGAAUCCAGCCCAUGUAAACAGGCUAAAGCUACUGCAAUUUAGUAAAGUGCCAGCUGAUUAUGUUUAAGUGUGGUAACAAAAACUAACGUGCUGAAAAAAUGAAAGGUUAACCAAACUCCACAAAGUACUGCAAAUGCCAUUAAGGAUUUUAGCGCAGUUGGACAGUCAGUGUUGUAUUUCCACCUUUAAAAUAAUAUUUUUUUUUAAGGAUCAAAUAUGUGUGCUUUAAGAAUUCUUUUAAAAUGCCAUUUAGCAAAGUCCAGUUAGUAAUGUUUGAUAAUGUUUGAGUCUUGCAGACUUGGAAAGCAGCAAGUAGCCAACUCUAGUUGUCAAGAUGGCAUUUUCAGCAAGAAAGUAAGGCUACCUAGAUAUUAAUCUGAGUGAGUUGGCAUGUUACAGGGAAAAAAGAAUAAAAAACUGAAAAAAGGUAGAGAAAAAAAGGCA